rnacentral:rRNA from 1 species
UACGUAGGUGGCAAGCGUUAUCCGGAUUUAUUGGGCGUAAAGGGAACGCAGGCGGUCUUUUAAGUCUGAUGUGAAAGCCUUCGGCUUAACCGGAGUAGUGCAUUGGAAACUGGGAGACUUGAGUGCAGAAGGGGAGAGUGGAACUCCAUGUGUAGCGGUGAAAUGCGUAGAUAUAUGGAAGAACACCAGUGGCGAAAGCGGCUCUCUGGUCUGUAACUGACGCUGAGGUUCGAAAGCGUGGGUAGCAGACAGG